AGCACACACAGGUGAGACAGGUGCACACCUGAGCCUCUUUUACAAGUUACCUGCUUCAGGGGUCCCAGGGCUUCAGCCUGAAUGAAGUGAAGCUGCAGCUUCUGCUUAUUCUUUUUAAUCUGGUCUGAUUGGACGAACCUGAAUGGAGAGGCAGCGCCCUCUGCAGGCGGUCUGUGGUUACAUCAGGUAAAAAGCUGCUGUGAGCGCUGAGCUCAGAUCAGAUCAGGAUGACUCUGUGACGAUGAUGAUGAUGAUGAGUUUGGGAAGUGUUUGUCGACGUUCUUCUGACGGUCUCUCGGGACUCUAAUGCUAAGCUAAAUCCUAACAGUACAUUAAGCUGCUAAUGGUUCCGGCUAAUGGACGGGCGUCCAGUGUUCACAGAUCAAUACAGGCUUGGAUGGAGACUGGGUCCUGAGCGAGUCCACAACGAGCGAGAGAAAGAGAAGUCAGAGCCGACCACAGGUGGCACACCUGCCUGUGUUUCAGGAAAGUCUGACCGGAUGAUCGACCCCGACCUCAGAGAUCAACGCAGAGUUAUGAUGGCCUCAGCUGACCGAAGAGACAGAGGAGUGUAACACAACUGUAACUGUAAUACGAUCAUAUGAUCAGCUGGAUCAAUCAGCCUGGAGUUCAUUGAUCGAACCACCAGCACGUUUACAUGAAAGAGGCGGAGCCUGUACCACGUGACUGCAGAAGUGCUGCAUGUGCUGAAUAACGUUUGUUCAAAGCAGAAACAGAGUUUCAGGAUGACUGGCUUGUUAAUGAACAACAAACCACACACGCACAGGUCAGUGUGGUUAACCAACCAGCAUCGAGAACCACCUAAACAAGAGGCCCACAAGGUUCUGCGGUGCUGAACAGUUUCCUGGAGCUCAGGAGAAGGUGCUGGAGGAACAGGAAGGGCAAGUUUCUGUGUGUGAUUCUGAGAAUCACACACCUGAUUUACUGGAAAGUUCCAACCGCCGACACACACUGCAUACCAGACCGGUUGAGCCUGUCCCAGUGCAAACUGGAAACGCUGGCAAUAAAAAUAAGGAUGUUUGCAGAUAAGCGUGUCUGUGACGGCAUCAAAGCAAACAAAAAGUCAUAAUCUGAGCUGGUGGGUCAGGACAGAGUCAGCGAGUCUGCAGCUGAUUUUUGGGUUUUUAUUGCAGCGCUGAUAGUUCAUUCAGCCACAGCUGCAUAUAACCGCUCGAUAAGUGCACCGAUUAUUGCACCAAUAACUACCUGAUAACUGCCUCGAUGACUGUCGGAUAACUUCUCUGACAACUGCUUAAUAACCGCCCGAUAACUAGCAGUAUGUUAAACGUGGACAGAUAACCUGUG